AGAGUUCAGCGCGCGCGUCCUCGACGCUGCGGGGGAGCUGGGCUGACCGGUUAUGAGCUGCUACCCUGAGGCGGGAGACCCCCCGGAGGCCGGAGGCCGGGCGGCGGUGGGCAGUGCACCAGCCGAGCGAGUUUACCAGGGCUGUCGGCGGCGAGCUGGGUGUGACACCGCGCGGGGUUCCCUAGAGCCCCAGAAGGAAGUUGGGUCGGGCGUGGUGACCCUAAUUGUAAUCCCAGCGGUUCGGGAUGCUGAGGCAGGGGGAUGACUAGUUCGAGGCCAGCUUGAGCAACUUAGGAAGACCCUGUCUCAAAAUGAAAAGGGCUGGGGAUGGAGCUCAGUGGUAGAGCGUCCCCGGGUUCACUCCCCAGUAACACAAAAAAUAUAAUGAGGGUGGAUCCUGCAGGCCAGCAGUAAUGACCUUGCCAAGGCCCUGCAGGCGACAGAGGUCGUGGACAGGGGGUGUGCUGGAAAUGUCCACAGGGUCAGACCACCCAUGGUGAGUCUGGAAAGCUGUGGCCCUUCAGAGUUCCCCCAUUGACCCUCCGGCCCACUGCGAUCCAGUCACAGGGUGCAGGCUGUUCAGGUGGCAGAGUUGGGUGACAGGCUAUUGGGUGGAGGCCCUUGAGAUAAGGGCUCCCAGCAGCUGGAAGAGCCACCUGGGGCUGGGGCCCGGGCCAGCUCAGUCUCUACUGUGCAGGAAAGGGCGAGGCCCCUCUGAGGACCAGAGAGCCUUUACCCAGCCUGAGCUGGAGUCUAAAAACUGACUGGACCAGUGAGGGCCCCUGGGAGAGCACCAGGAGCCGGUUCUUCAGUGAUCAGCAGAGCUCUCCCCAGAGAAGCCUGGACCAUUGCAUCCCCACUCUGUACACAUGUGAACACAGAAACAGUGAAACAGGGCCCUGAUGGCUGGGUUUAAUUGUCUGUUUUAAGGGCCUGUUAAGAUCAGACCAACCAGUGCUUGCCUCUCGUGCAGCAUUGGGCUGUAUCCAUGGCCUGGACGAGGCAUGGGCCAGCAGGAGGCUGCCUGUCUGCCACUCUGGGCUUCGAGCACACUGGAGGCGGUCACCCUAUGGAGCAGCAGUCACCCUGUAGAGCAGCUCUUCCCCUGGCCUGUGCCUUCAUUUGGGGCUCCCUGGCUAUCCCUUAGUGAACCCACAGCCAUUGGCUCCAGCCCUUUCAGCCCCCCACAUCCUGUUGUGCAUAGUUGGGGAAGAAUACAGGGCUGACUCCAGAGCAGAUCGUCCACCCACACUGCCCCUCGGUGGGAAACAUGAAUAGAACAACCUGCUCGAGGUGCCCACCAUCUUGCAAUGAGGAAGGAUGAGGGUAGAUGGCAGGUGGGUGGCAGGUGUGCAGACUCACCAUAGGCCAAGGCCCAGGGCGGGGUGGCACAGACUGCCCUGCUUUCAGAUGAGCAGUACUGCCUUCCAGGUGUUGUGAGGGUCUGUUGAGGGCUGUGGGUGGCAUCAGUCCCCAAGAGACUGAUUGACCUAAGGAUGGGUGAAGUCACUGCCAUCUGCGCCCACUCUUGAGAGACCUGGGUGGACCGCACAAGCCAGGUGAAGCAGGCCUUUGAGGAUGGCCCACCAGGGCUGUGGGUGCAUUCUUCGGGCGAAGUCCUGAGGCAGGGGGAUGUCUGCAGAGCGUUUUCAUUUACUUUCGUUUCAGAGGUCAUUUUCACUUUUUUUUUUACACAUUUCCGUGCCUAUUCUUUUCACUGUUAUAAAAAAGCUUUUGGGAGAGAAAUUAAGGAGGCAUGUUUCACUUGGAGCGGCCACAACACCCCUGCAUUAGAAUCUCUUCAAGGAGACCAGGACCCUCCCCAAGGCCUCCAGGUGGGGACUUCAGGUCCCCUGGUGUGCUUUCCAGGGACGUGGCCAGUUUGGUCUUGCUCUGAGGUCUGUCCCACUACCCUGUCACCUUGUCUGUAGCUAAUGGCCCUGACUCUCCUGUCAGGCAUCUAUCCAGUUGGCCCCGGCCCCAGGUCGUUGCCAACACCACCAGCCUGUGUGUGGCCAACCCCUGCCUAUCCUUCUCUCAGAGGUCCAGGUGUCACUUAGGGCUGGAGGAUGGUGAGAGCCCCAGGAGAAAGAGACUGGUGUGACCUGGGCAGGGGUGUUGGGUGGGGAGCUGCAGAAGCUGCAAGUUCCUCCACCUGGGACUAAUUUUAGGCCUGCUGGUCCCUGUGGAGCCGAUGCGGGCCUUCUCUUAUUGUCCUCAGGACUGACUCUGGCUGUGGCCACUCCUUUGGCACUCUUCCUGGCUGCCCUGCAGAGCCCCAGCCUCCUGCAGCUCCCUCCCUGUCCCAUGCUCACACUGGCCCCUGUCUUGUGGAAGGGUCUGAGGAGCUUGGUGGUAUGUGACCCUGGUCCUCCUGCCACCGUGGUGGAGCUGAGCAUAGCCAGGGAGCAUUGGAAACUUCCCAGCAGCAGGUGAAGGGCGACGGGUUUUUAAGAAGCCUCUUAAAAUGCACCUCUUCCCUGGGCUGUGUGUCUGCGGCCCUUGGGUUGAUGGUUUUUGGGGCAUUUCUGUCUCCCCUCCAGCUGCCAUACAUCCUGGGGUGGCUUGUCCCUGACUUGCCCCUUCAUGCCUUCCUUGUAUGAGUCUCUGUUCCUCCUCCACCUGCCAACCUCUGCUCACCCUUCAAGACCCCUCUGGAAGAUCCCUGCCUUUUCAAGGUUGCCUGCAGCCUCCCUGUCACCACCUCCCUGGCCCCCAGGCUCCCUCAGUUCCUCUUCUAUCCCAGGAGGUGAGCCAGGGAAGCUCCAGGAAACGCCCCCUGCCCUGACCUUGUGCCCUGCUGUUGUGACUUCACUCCUAGGAAGUUCUGGAAGCAAUCUACUGAACUGAGUUUAUGACCUCCACCCCAGGACCUGACCACAGCUGGGCCCUCCCAGUGUGCCCUGUGCAGCUCAGCAGCCUGCCUGAAAGGCCCUCCAGCAGCUUAUCUUGCUGUGGAAAGGCUCCCAGAUCCUCCUGCCUCAGGCUCCCAAGUCACUGAGUUCUCCAGGGUCAUUUUCAAACUGGCCCUCCUGGGGGAGGCCCAGUGUGGCUUCAAGCUCAAUGAUAAUCCCCCUCCACCCCCACCCCGCUUCUAAGAAGUGCUGAGGGGCCCAAGACAGGACAAUGUGAGGGACACGCUGUCUUCCUGGACAGCCACCCGUGCCUCUUCUGCAGCCCGUCCCGCUUGCCAUCAAGGAUGGGCCCUGCUAUGGUUGAUCUGUGAUAUCCCCCAAAAGCUCAUGAGAGACAGAGCCAGGACGCUCCAAGGUCAGAUGAUAGCCUGUGAGAGCCGCGGCUGCCUCAGUGGGUCAUCCCCUGGACUAGACUAGCUGGUAUGUAGGGUGUGGCUGGAGAGGCUGGGUCCCGGGGAUGUGCCUUUGGGGUUAUAUUGUGUCCCUGGCCUGUAGCUUGCGCUCUCUCUGCUUCCUGGCCACCAUGAAUGACCAGCUGUCUCUGCCAGGCCCUUCCUCCAUGAUGCUCUGCUUUACCUCAGGCCCAGAACAAUGGAUCCGGCCAGCCAUGGACUGAGCCUCUGAAACCACGAGCAAAAAUGAACUUUUCCUCCUCUAAGUUGUUCUACGACUUUUGGUCUCAACAAUGAAAGCUGACUAAGACCGUGAUCCACUAGUGUGACGAGCGGUUGUUAGUGUCUCAGUCUGAGGCACAGCUGGGUUCCAUCAGGUCUAUUUUAUUGAUGCUCAUCACACUUCAGACACACAUCCUGAUUCUGAGUCCUAACUGAGGCUACCCAAGAGUCCCAGAUGCUCACCUGACAUGGGUCCUAAGUCGUGGUCUCUGGAACUAGAUUCAAGCUGGAGGAGACAGCAGCGACGGAGACCUCCCUCUCUGUCCAGGUCCUGUUGUUCCCAUCGCCCCCCAGAGUCUGGGUUUUAAGUCCUAGUUCAGUUGUGCUUGCAGCAGUGCAGACGCUGACAUCACUAUCUAGGUCUGCCUGGGCCGCAGUUGGCCUCAGUUCUGCCACUCACAUCACAUCAGGGGCAUGUUGCUUAUGGUCUUUCCUCCACACACACUUGAAUUAAUACAACCAACAGUAACCCUGUGUAUUCCUGGCACUCAGGUCAACUAGGACCAGUGGUCAGGACAGAGGCACACCAGAGGGUGACCGCGUGAGGGCAGAGGGAGGAGAUGGCUGUGCAGGACCUGAGGGCAACAAACCUCUCGCUUAGACCCCUCCCCUGCGAGGGGGGCUUCCUCACUGCUCCUGGCUGCCUUGCCCUGGGCGGGUGGCCAGCCUGAGAAGGGAGCACACCGGCUGUGCGUGUACCAGGCACUUGUUGGUCUCUGUGUCACUGAACCCAAGGGCACUGGGUACCACAGCCGAUGGCUGCUCCUGUCCCCUUUUACAGGAGACCAAGGGACUAGUAACUUGCUCAAGGUCUCAGGGUCGUGAGGGGCAGGACCUGUGCCAACGCUCUGUGCCUUGCUGGCCACAGCACAGGCCAGAGCUCUGCUCAGAGAACCCUCUUGGUGACCAGGAGCUACACCCACAACAGCCCCCUGCUUCCUCAGGUGGAGGCCUGAGGCCAUGGACCCCCUCCUCUGCACCCCACCUUUCCCUCCACGCGAUGGCUCACCUGUGCCCCGUCUUUCCAGUGGCCUGAGCUCCUCCCUGGGACAGAGACCUCCUGCCACAGAGCAGCCCCACGUGUGCUUGGCUGUUGCUUAGAGUGCGGCCUUGUGCUGGGCAUUCGGAACGAGGGCUCCAGGGCCCUGGGGGGCGGCAGGCCUGGCCAGAUCACAGACCAGCCCUGGUCCAGGGAACAUCCCUGGGAUCUAACCUAGGGCCACUCCUUCAUCUUCCCUGGGGCUGGGGUAAGGCUGGGGGUAGAGCAUUUGCCCGACAUGCGUGAGGCCCGGGCUCCUCCUCAGCACCAAAAGGGAAAACAGGGAAUCUAUGGCAGGAAGCCCUCUGCCAGGGCCGGGGCCGGGACAGACUCAGUGCUGCCCCUGGGAAGCCGAGAAACAGCAGGCCUCAGUCGGAGGCCCCAGAGGGCAGGGCUGCUCUGUCUCCUUGUGGUCCUGGCCUCCCACAGGCAGCAGGAUCCCCCUUGGCUGUUAGGUGACCCAGCUGUGAAGGGGUCCCAGGAGCUGGUGCUCCCUCUCCCGGGGCUGCCCGUGUCCCAGACCCAGGCCUGGGCUCUGAUGCCUCUGUGCUAAUUUCACAAAAGACUCGACUUGAACUCCUGACUGAGCAGCUUCACUUUGACAGGACUGAAGAUUUGUGACAAGGCUGAUCAUCACCCCAGAGCGUGGGUGAUGUGCAGGCUCCGGGGAACCGGCUAGCGGGUAUAUUUUAUGGCUUGCUUGGAAGACAAACGCAGGCAUUUAUGUGUCACUUGUUGCAGUAUAAAUGCUAACUUGUACUUCUUUCAAAACUUUUAAUGAAUUGUAUGCAUUCUGGAGGAUUUAUAGGAUGAGUGGGAUGGCCCAAAAUGUUACUUUAAACAUAUUUGUCACUUUGGAAACAGCACCAAAAAAAUCUGGAAGAUAUUGCACUCAGAAAUAAAUCAUAAAUGGAUGCAUCUGAAAA